rnacentral:rRNA from 1 species
AGUCUCCUGAAGGAACGUUAAAGACGAUGACGUUGAUAGGUCGGGUGUGUAAGCGUAGCGAUACGUUGAGCUAACCGAUACUAAUGAACCGUGAGGCUUAACCUUA